rnacentral:rRNA from 1 species
GGAUCAACAUGUCGGUCGUGCCUCCGGUACGUACUGGUAUCGUUGAUUUCUACCUUCUGACGAACCAUGAUGUCAUUAAUUUGGUGUCAUGGGGAAUCAGGACUGUUACUUUGAAAAAAUUAGAGUGUUUAAAGCAGGCACACGCUUGAAUACAUUAGCAUGGAAUAAUAGAAUAGGACUGCGGUUCUAUUUUGUUGGUUUCUAGGACCGAAGUA